rnacentral:rRNA from 1 species
GAGGCCCCAAGCGUUACUGAGAAUCACUGGGUUUAAAGGGUGCGUAGGUGGUCCGUUAAGUCUGUUGUGAAAGCCCUUGGCUCAACCAAGGAAUUGCUUCGGAUACUGGCGGACUUGAGGCUAGUAGAGGUCACUGGAACUGACGGUGGAGCGGUGAAAUGCGUAGAUAUCGUCAGGAACGCCGGUGGUGAAGACGGGUGACUGGGCUAGUUCUGACACUGAGGCACGAAAGCGUGGGGAGCGAACGGGAUUAGAUACCCCGGUAGUCCACGCCCUAAACGAUGCAGACUAGACUGCAGCGGGUUACACCCCGUUGCGGUCGGAGCGAAAUUGUUAAGUCUGCCACCUGGGAAGUACGGUCGCAAGGCUAAAACUCAAAGGAAUUGACGGGGGCUCACACAAGCGGUGGAGCAUGUGGCUCAAUUCGAAGCAACGCGAAGAACCUUAUCCUGGAUCUGACAUGGUAGAAGUAAGAAGCAGAAAUGCCUAUGACCGGUAUCCAAUCCGGAACUAUCACAGGUGCUGCAUGGCUGUCGUCAGCUCGUGCUGUGAAGUGUCGGGUUAAGUCCCAUAACGAGCGAAACCCCUAUCGUUAGUUGCCAGCGAGUCAAGUCGGGCACUCUAACGAGACUGCCGGUGUUAAACCGGAGGAAGGCGGGGAUGACGUCAAGUCCUCAUGGCCUUUAUAUCCAGGGCUGCACACGUGCUACAAUGCCGAUGACAAACCGAAGCGAGACCGUAAGGUGGAGCAAAUCGGAGAAAAAUCG